CUGAAGCUGCGUGCUCUCCGUCAGGCGUUCUCUACUCUGCUUGCCAGCAUCCACAACCAGAACUUUCUGUUUGUGGUUGGAAAGAUCGUGGUGCGUCUGGCAAGAGCUAACAACCAGUCUUUGGUUCAAUUCCUGAGAAAGUCGUCCUAUCAGGAGUCAAUUAUGACAAAGCUCUUUGGGGCCCAGCUCCACCAUUAGAACUUCCUGGAUGUGUUUUAUGAGCUGCUUCUUUUCGGCUACUUCGGGAACAGGCUCAACACCUGAGGCAUUUGAGGGAGGAUUCUUGGAGCGCCUGUUUGCUCUCUUCAGCAUGUGGGACGUGGAAGUGUGGGAGCCUGCGGCAGAGCUGUACUUCACAAUGCUUUUUUGCUUUGUGAAGUACUGUUUUCACAGCCCCGGAGCUCUACAGCGACCCUGCGGCCUUAUCGAGUGCAGCUUCACGGCUCCUUAGGAAGCAUGUCCAGCUGAUGAUGGACACUUUGGAGAAGCUCUAAGCAAUGCCAUUACCUUUACCCACCCCUCUGCCACCCCAACCCCCUUCCUCUUCACGCUUUUAUCUCGUUUAAUUUACAAUUGACACUGUGGGAUGUUUGUUAGUUCCUGCUAUCUCUUUUAACAUUAAUAAUGCAAAAAAAAUUAUUCUUGCUAUAAUUAGACCCCCAAAAUUAAAUUUUUCUUCCUCUAGUUGCAUUUCAUGUUUGUUCUUUUAGAUCAAUAUUUUUCCCUACAUUGCUCAAGCUCUCCACAAGUAAGAAUAAAUGAAUUUUGUUAUUUUCAAUUAACUUCGUAUUUUGAAAAAAUCUUUUCUUUCUUCAUUAACAGAUCUGCACAGAGCCCAGGACUGAAGGACCGGUGUAAAAUCCCUCAUCCCUCAAUACUCAUCCCUUUAUACUCUACCCCUCAGUACUUUAUCCUGAUCCCCAUCACUCUAUUCUUUUCCUUUACAGUUGUAAAUAGAAUUGUUUGUAAAUAGUUUUU
ensembl:lncRNA